CCCUGAUCCUAGGAAAGGGGCAACUUAUGAAUCAAAUGGAUUUUUUUGCACACGACUGGAGGAGGACCAUGCUUCCUGUGGAUUGACCUUCUGGAUCAUA